rnacentral:rRNA from 1 species
AUCAUUAAUGAAUUGUAAUCGGAGCUGAUGCUGGCGGCUUGGCUGCAUGUGCUCGCUCUUAACAAUCUUUAUCCAAACACCUGUGCACAUUUAGAGAGGGUCUCCGAGUUCUCCUUGGAGUCCCUUCCUCUCAUUAUACACUAGUUUUUAAUAUUGAACGUGAUUGUGCCGUGAGGCCUUAAUAUCAAUACAACUUUUAACAACGGAUCUCUUGGCUCUCGCAUCGAUGAAGAACGCAGCGAAAUGCGAUAAGUAAUGUGAAUUGCAGAAUUCAGUGAAUCAUCGAAUUUUUGAACGCACCUUGCGCUCCCUGGUAUUCCGGGGAGCACGCCUGUUCGAGUGUCGUGAAAUUCUCAAACUGGGAUGCUUUUUUGUUUCUCGGCUUGGUGUUGGGCUUUGCAGUUCCUUUGAUUGGGAUGGCUGGCCUCAAAAGCAUUAGCUGGCUUUUCAUGUGGCAUUGGUUCUACUCAGCGUGAUAAUAAUCUGACCGCCGAGGACAUCUUUCGAGAUGGCCAAUUCUCAUUUGGGCUGCUUCUAAUUUUGGUAGAGCGGAUUCUGAAUCUGUUCCACUUUUUCAACUUUUGACCUCGAAUCAGGUGGGACUACCCGCUGAACUUAAGCAUAUAAUAAGC